rnacentral:rRNA from 1 species
GUGAGGAAUUUUGCGCAAUGGGGGCAACCCUGACGCAGCGACGCCGCGUGGAGGACGAAGUCUUUCGGGAUGUAAACUCCUGUCAGUGGGGACGAUAAUGACGGUACCCACAGAGGAAGCACCGGCUAACUCCGUGCCAGCAGCCGCGGUAAGACGGAGGGUGCAAGCGUUGUUCGGAAUUACUGGGCGUAAAGCGUAUGUAGGCGGCAAGUUAAGUUCAAUGUUAAAGCCCACGGCUCAACCGAGGAGAUGCAGUGAAUACUGGCUAGCUAGAGGGUGUUAGAGGAAGACGGAAUUCCCAGUGUAGCGGUGAAAUGCGUAGAUAUUGGGAGGAAGAUCGGUAGCGAAAGCGGUCUUCUGGGACAUACCUGACGCUGAGGUACGAAAGCGUGGGGAGCAAACGGGAUUAGAUACCCCGGUAGUCC